rnacentral:rRNA from 1 species
CAGUCGCCGCGGUAAUACGUAGGUGGCAAGCGUUGUCCGGAACUAUUGGGCGUAAAGGGCUCGCAGACGGUUUCUUAAGUCUGAUGUGAAAGCCCCCGGCUCAACCGGGGAGGGUCAUUGGAAACUGGGAAACUUGAGUGCAGAAGAGGAGAGUGGAAUUCCACGUGUAGCGGUGAAAUGCGUAGAGAUGUGGAGGAACACCAGUGGCGAAGGCGACUCUCUGGUCUGUAACUGACGCUGAGGAGCGAAAGCGUGGGGAGCGAACAGGAUUAGAGACCCGAGUAGUCCCUGUCUCUUAUAC